CAAAAUUUGAAUUUUGGAACAAACUUUCCGAUUUUUUAAAAAAACUUUCCCAAAUUUAAAACAAACAGUUAAGGUCAAAAUAAGCUAGGAGAUUGCCUUUACUUCAUUACAAAGUGGAACUUAUUUGAAUAUGGAUGAACUGAAGCAGCAAACUAUAUUAUUUUUUUUUUGGGGGGGGGGGGUAAUGUGAAAUGAAGAAAAUGAAAGAAAAUUGAUUGUCAUACAUGGCAAGGAAAACCACAACCAGAUUACAGGAUGACGUUCUUUGGAAUAUGUUUUGUAUUAUAAGGAAGGAAAAACAAUCGACAUUCAAAAGUAUAUAUUAAUUGUUUGGCAAAGCAAUGUCAUGGAAUAUCGAGGCUGAAGAUAAGAUUGACAGUUCUUUGUGCUAGGUGUUAAUCAAUGCAUAAUUUGACAAGAUUUGAAUCAAGAUUCAGGCACAGAAUUAACCAUAUUUUUAGUAGUUAUCAAAAUUUGUGUGUGUUUCAUCACAUACAAGAUAGGCAAUGACUGAGAUACUCUUUAUGUACCAAAUUUUAUAAUCUGAAUAAAAAG